rnacentral:lncRNA from 1 species
CUCAGAACCAGGACGCCAAACUCAGGCCUGGGCACUUGUCUUGUUUUCCUUCUGCUUCUCCUAGUGUGUGUGUGUGUGUGUGUGUGUGUGGUGUGGUGUGGUGGUGGUGGUAUUAGGGAUCAACCCAGGGUUGCUCCCAUCCCCAGCCCUUUUUAUUUUUAUUCUGAGGCAGGGUCUUGCCAAGUUGCCCAGACUGGCCUCAAGCUUGCCAUCCUCCUGGCUCAGCCUCCUCAGUCCUGAGUAAGUGCGGUAUCUAUCUCCUUUAGGACACUACUGGCUCAUGGCCAUGGGCAUAGGGGUUGGCUCCCAGAUGUGAAAAGAAUGCCUUACGACAUCCUUGAGUCUUUUUUUUCCCCAGUAUUGGGGGUUGAACCCAAGCGUGCUCUAUCACCCUUGAGCUAUAUCCCAGUCCUGUUUAUUUUAUUUUUGAGAUAGGGUUUCUCUAAAUUGCAAGAGCUGGCUUUGAACUUGUGAUCUUCCUGCCUCAGUCUCCCAAGUCACUGGGAUUACAGGCGUGUGCUACCGCACUGGACAUCCUUGGGCCUGUAUUAGCACCCAGUGGCCUCCCAAUAAAUUCUUUAGCCUGACAUCCACAGUUCCCCUGCCAGACCUUCCAAACUCAGCUCCUGCAUCAACCUCUCCUCCUUUCCCAUGAUGCCUAGCCAUGCUAGCCUUCACUGCUUAGGACCUGCCCUAGCACAGCCUCUCUACCACUCUUCCCCCUGCUGAAAUGCUCUUGUCUCAUCAAAACAUACAUUCCCACCACCUGUUUCCAUAUGGGAACGCUGUGCUGUAGCAACUGACCUGGCCUUUCACCUAUCGUCUUAAGCUAUGUUUUACAAACUAGUAUAUCAGUAAUUGUAGCAAAUCGUAUUUUCUUUCCUUUCCUUUUUUUUGGGGAGGAGGAUGCUGGGAAUCCAACUCAGGGUCUCACACACAUGCACACUAGGCGAGCACCCUACCACUGAGCUACAUCCCCAGCUCAGCAAAUCGUAUUUUUCAACAAAGAUAACCUCUCCUGGGUGUGGUGGCACAUGCCUGUAAUCCCAUUUACUCAGGGGACUGAGACAGUAAAAUCUCAAAUUGGAGGUCAGCAUAGGCCAUUUAGCAAGACCCUUCCUUAACAUAUUAAUUAAUUAAUUAAUUAAUUAAGAAAAGGUGGGAGGAUGCAGUUCAGUGGUAGAGUGGUUGUUUAGAAAGCACAAAGUCCUGAGUUUGUUC